rnacentral:rRNA from 1 species
UACGUAGGGGGCAAGCGUUGUUCGGAAUCAUUGGGCGUAAAGAGCGUGUAGGCGGCCCGGUAAGGCUGUUGUGAAAGUCCAGGGCUCAACCCUGGAAUGCCGAUGGAUACUGCCGGGCUAGAGUUCGGAAGAGGCGAGUGGAAUUCCUGGUGUAGCGGUGGAAUGCGCAGAUAUCAGGAGGAACACCUAUAGCGAAGGCAGCUCGCUGGGACGACACUGACGCUGAGACGCGAAAGCGUGGGGAGCGAACAGG